GCGAGAUGUCCCGGUGCUUGCAGGUACGCGGUGCUGCGAGAGCGGCUGCCGGUCGCGGCCGAGCUGCUGCGGAAGGAGCAGGAGAGGGACCGCCUGCGCUUGGUGCCGUGAGGGCAUCCCGGGCCCUGAGCCGGGAGCAUCGUCUAAGCACAGCCUGUGCAUCUUUUCAUUCGGGUCCUUGUUGAGAAAAUGUAAAUGCAGAAGGAGGAGAAGGAGGAGGAAUAACACAAUUUCUGUGGCUGCACUGGGGACUUCUGAACCUCGCUAUGCUUUCUAUGAUCACAUAAAACAACUCUAUGUGUAACAACUCAGAAUGCUCCAGGUCUGCUGGUGCUCUUGAGUUUUAUAUUUUGGAUGUAAAAAGCAAAUGCAAUUCCUAAACUGAGCAGAGAACCACAAUGUACAUUUUAAAAAGUACCCCCCCCACAUUCCAGCUGCAAGCAGCUUUCCAAGGAGCAAAAUUAAAAGCAAUGAAUCUGCCAGCAUCAAAGGAGGGAAUUUUUAUCACUCUGUCCCAAACUGAAUUAUUACUUCAAUACUAUGAUUAAAAAUAAACACAGGUUAUUAGGGCUACAU